UGCCUAACACAUGCAAGUCGAACGGUAACAGGUCUUCGGAUGCUGACGAGUGGCGCACGGGUGAGUAACGCGUGGAUAUCUGCCUAUGAGUGGGGGACAACUUUCGGAAACGAAAGCUAAUACCGCAUAAUCUCUACGGAGCAAAGCAGGGGACCUUUCGGGGCCUUGUGCUUAUAGAUGAGUCCGCGUCAGAUUAGCUAGUUGGUGGGGUAAGAGCCUACCAAGGCGAUGAUCUGUAGCUGGUUUGAGAGGAUGAUCAGUCACACUGGAACUGAGACACGGUCCAGACUCCUACGGGAGGCAGCAGUGGGGAAUUUUGCACAAUGGGGGAAACCCUGAUGCAGCGAUGCCGCGUGUGGGAAGAAGGCCUUUGGGUUGUAAACCACUUUCAAUUGGGAAGAAGGGAUGAGAAUUAAUAAUUCUCUGACUUGACGGUACCUUUAGAAGAAGCACCGGCUAAUUUCGUGCCAGCAGCCGCGGUAAUACGAAAGGUGCAAGCGUUGUUCGGAUUUACUGGGCGUAAAGAGAUCGUAGGUGGUUUGUUAAGUUGGAUGUGAAAUCCCGGGGCUCAACCUCGGAACUGCAUCCAAAACUGGCAGACUUGAGUUCGGGAGGGGUAAGCGGAAUUCCGUGUGUAGCAGUGAAAUGCGUAGAUAUACGGAGGAACACCUGAGGCGAAGGCGGCUUACUGGACCGAUACUGACACUGAGGAUCGAAAGCGUGGGUAGCAAACAGGAUUAGAUACCCUGGUAGUCCACGCCCUAAACGAUGUCAACUAGCCGUUGCGGGUAUCGACCCCUGCAGUGGCGCAGCUAACGCGAUAAGUUGACCGCCUGG
rnacentral:rRNA from 1 species